rfam:Apaloderma vittatum contig6969, whole genome shotgun sequence.
GGGGUGGUGAGCUCAGUCGGUUGGAGCGUGGUGCUGAUAACACCAAGGCCGCGGGUUCGAUCCCCGUUUGGUCCC